UCUGGGUGUGGAGAAUACAUGAUCUCUGACAGCUGUAGGAGGGCACAGCUUACAUCUUAGGGCACCUGUAAUGCACUGAUCCUGAUAUGACUCCAGAGUAUCGAGACAGCACGCUGUAUCUUCAGAUAACACUUUCUUAGCUAUAACCACCCUCCUAGCAUCUCUGACCUCCCUCAGUUCUUGACCAUCCACCUUGGCUCCUUGCCUGACCCUUGCUUUAAUAACAACCACUCCCUCUUCCUCAGUAUUUGGUUUCUGGAUGCUGGGGUGGGCUACAUCCCUUUCCUCCUUAUUUGUGAGGCUCUCUGGCUCCUGGAUUUCCUUCUCCUCUGUGUGUCUCUCCAGUUUCAAGAAAGCCAGCGUGGGACUGAGGUACUGGGAGACAGCCUGGGCACACUUCUCCACCACCUGACUCAUCUGGAGCCCACUAGCUGCAGUCAGGGGUUUUAUAUUCAUAGUACAGAACAAUAUGUGGAUAUGGCUAUAAUCUGGAUAUUCCACUCUGUUUUUACUGUAAAGAGUUCUGAUAAAUAGUAGAUUAUAUCGCACCUCUAACAACCCGGUGUAGCAGGACAGGAGAAGUCUCUUCCCAACCUCCACACUGCAAACUACACCCACUCUCAGCUCAGCCUGGCCUUCGUGGAGCAGGAAUUGGUCACGUAGGAAAUCAGAGGAUGCUGCAAGCACAACUCUAUGACCGUGGAAAUAGAGAGGCUGGACAGUGGCGCCUUGUGGACCCGCAAGGAGGAGUGUGAUAUCACAGAAGCGGUGUUCCUCUCUUAGAGCAUUCAUCUUGCUGAGGAUGGAGUCACCGUGGGUGGGGAAGCAAAACUGUAGAGUGUCAGAAGAGCUUGACAUGUUGGUGUGUCUAAAGUGAAAAGGAUAUUUGGUACAGUUUGUUAGAGUGUGAAUGCAGAAAAGCUGCGAGCUGUAUAGAUUAGCUUUAUUAUUCCAUAAUUACUUUUCAUUAAUCGUUGGGUUCAGGUUGUGGGUCUUCUACUGUUAGCGCAUUUUUGAAAUUUAAACAUGAUAAAGGUUUUGACACUCCUGGAAACUACAGACAUGAGGCCUACACCCACAGAUUUACAGCUAAAUCACAAUUCCUACAUCUGUUCAUCAUUAUCAUUAGAUGGUUUUGGUCUGCAAUUAAGCUAAAUCAAUCAGUAAAUCAGGAAAAUACCAAA